rnacentral:tRNA from 1 species
GGGCUGCCGCUCAGUGGUAGAGUGCCUGCCUGGCACGUGUGAGGCCCUGGGUCCAAUCCUCAGCACCACA